rnacentral:rRNA from 1 species
UAUGUGAUCGUCUCUCGCAUAUCAAUAAGCGGAGGAAAAGAAACUAACAAGGAUUCCCCUAGUAACGGCGAGUGAAGCGGGAAGAGCUCAAAUUUGAAAUCUUAAAGGGUUUCCCUUUACGAAUUGUAGUUUAAAGAAGUGUUUUCUGUUGAGGUUUUGGUAAAAGUUCUUUGGAAUAGGACAUCAUAGAGGGUGAGAAUCCCGUAUUUGACCUUUACUUUCAACUUUGUGAUACACUUUCAAAGAGUCGGAUUGUUUGGGAAUGCAGUCCAAAAUGAGUGGUAAAUUUCAUCUAAAGCUAAAUAUUGGCGAGAGACCGAUAGCGAACAAGUACCGUGAGGGAAAGAUGAAAAGAACUUUGAAAAGAGAGUUAAACAGUACGUGAAAUUGUCAAAAGGGAAGCGUUUGACACCAGUGUUGUUUUUUCUGAAAAUCAAUUAAAGAACUGUUUAUGCUAAGUUGUUUAGACUUUAUCAGCUAACUGUUUAGUUUUGAGCUUUUCUUUAAUGCACUUUUCAGUUAACAAGUCAACAUCAAUUUCCUUUGCUGUAAAAAAGCUUGAGGAAGGUGGCUUGAGAUUCGUCUUAAGUGUUUAUAGCCUCUUGCCUAUGCAGUCGGAGAGAUUGAGGUCUGCAGCGUAGAUCCUUCGGGGCUAAAUGCAUUUGUGCUAAGUUAUAACAUUUUAUAGACAACUUGUUGACUAUGAUUUGUCUUGUAGCUUACUCGCUUAUGUUAUUUUACCUACGCUUAGGAUGUUGAAGAUAUGCGCGACACGA